CAGGGAUGGAUUCCUGAACAAGAACGAAUUCUCCGCUCUGUGCUGUGCUCUCUUCCAAAAUGAGAAAGGAGAAACCUACCCCAUCGAGACCACCAUAUUUGAUGCCAUCUUCACAAUCUUUGACAACAAGAAGGAUCAGGUCAUCGACAGUGAUGAGUUCCACUACUGCUGGCAGCAAUGGAUCACAACGGUGCUGCGUCCUGUGACGGCUCUGGUGGUGGUGGAUGUUCAAAAUGACUUCAUAUCUGGAUCCCUUGGUCUUAAUAUUAACCUUGAAGAUCAACAUGGUGAGAAGGUUCUUCCGGGCUUCACUACC